UACGAAGGGGGCUAGCGUUGCUCGGAUUGACUGGGCGUAAAGGGCGCGUAGGCGGUUUGCACAGUCAGACGUGAAAUUCCUGGGCUUAACCUGGGGGCUGCAUUUGAUACGUGUGGGCUUGAGUGCGGAAGAGGGUCGUGGAAUUCCCAGUGUAGAGGUGAAAUUCGUAGAUAUUGGGAAGAACACCGGUGGCGAAGGCGGCGACCUGGUCCGUGACUGAC
rnacentral:rRNA from 1 species